rnacentral:rRNA from 1 species
UACGUAGGGUGCGAGCGUUAAUCGGAAUUACUGGGCGUAAAGCGUGCGCAGGCGGUUUUUUAAGACAGGCGUGAAAUCCCCGGGCUCAACCUGGGAACUGCGCUUGUGACUGGAAGACUAGAGUAUGGCAGAGGGGGGUGGAAUUCCACGUGUAGCAGUGAAAUGCAUAGAGAUGUGGAGGAACACCGAUGGCGAAGGCAGCCCCCUGGGCCAAUACUGACGCUCAUGCACGAAAGCGUGGGGAGCAAACAGG